CCUACGGGAGGCAGCAGUGAGGAAUAUUGGUCAAUGGACGCAAGUCUGAACCAGCCAUGCCGCGUGCAGGAAGACGGCCCUAUGAGUUGUAAACUGCUUUUGUACGAGGGUAAACGCAGAUACGCGUAUCUGUCUGAAAGUAUCGUACGAAUAAGGAUCGGCUAACUCCGUGCCAGCAGCCGCGGUAAUACGGAGGAUUCAAGCGUUAUCCGGAUUUAUUGGGUUUAAAGGGUGCGUAGGCGGUCGGAUAAGUUAGAGGUGAAAUCCCGAGGCUCAACUUCGGAAUUGCCUCUGAUACUGUUCGUCUAGAGAGUAGUUGCGGUAGGCGGAAUGUAUGGUGUAGCGGUGAAAUGCUUAGAGAUCAGACAGAACACCGAUUGCGAAGGCAGCUUACCAAGCUACUUCUGACGUUGAGGCACGAAAGCGUGGGGAGCAAACAGGAUUAGAUACCCGGGUAGUC
rnacentral:rRNA from 1 species